rnacentral:rRNA from 1 species
CUACGGGAAGCUGCAGUGGGGAAUAUUGCACAAUGGAGGAAACUCUGAUGCAGCAACGCCGCGUGGAGGAUGACACUUUUCGGAGCGUAAACUCCUUUUAUAUAGGAAGAAGAUGACGGUACUAUAUGAAUAAGCGCCGGCUAACUCCGUGCCAGCAGCCGCGGUAAUACGGAGGGCGCAAGCGUUACUCGGAAUCACUGGGCGUAAAGAGCGUGUAGGCGGAUUAAAAAGUCAGAAGUGAAAUCCUAUAGCUUAACUAUAGAACUGCUUCUGAAACUCUUAAUCUAGAAUGUGGGAGAGGUAGAUGGAAUUUCUGGUGUAGGGGUAAAAUCCGUAGAGAUCAGAAGGAAUACCGAUUGCGAAGGCGAUCUACUAGAACAUUAUUGACGCUGAGACGCGAAAGCGUGGGGAGCAAACAGGAUUAGAUACCCUCGUAGUC